rnacentral:lncRNA from 1 species
GCCCGAGGCCACCUCCUUUCCAUUCCUCCAGGAACAAACACCAACCAGCAAGCGACAGAAGCUUCCAGUGAGGAGGAUCCCUGGCCUCCCGGAUCUGCAGGCCGGGGACAGAGGAGGGGCCUACGGAGGCAGGUGCUGACUCUCUGCAUGUCGACCGGUCUGCAACACGGCAUCUGGAUGGGACUGAGCCAUGGGCUGGAACACUGUACUGAAAGACUGCCGGGUUUCGGAG